UUUGCCACAGAUUAAUAGUUUGUCAGCAGUUAGUAUAUGCUAACUAAGUAGAGCAUUAAAUUCAAGCUUAUUGUUUAGUGGUGGACUUGUCUUCUGCACACAGGUUUUUCAGAUCUAGGUAGUUGGAGUCAGUUGAUGACUUUAAAAUCAUUUUUUCUGACUGGAUAAUUAAAGCUCACAGCAUCUACCUGUCUGUAGUUGAUUUUCCCACAUUUUAACUAACAUUUAACUAAUCUAAUCUCAUUUAAUGUCUCUGUUUAUAGUCUAUAUAGUUUAUCUCCCCACUAACACACUUAAAGUAGUCUUAAAAUAAAACCCACAAAACAGUUCAAGAUGAAAUACUUUGUAUUUGCUCAUGUAAUGCCAGUUGCCCUAUUUUUCUGUAUGUCACUCAUUCGCUUAUACUCGGGCAAAAAAUACCAAUUUGUACACUGAUGAGUCUAGUGUAUUUUUUCCCUUUAUCUCUCUAUGUCUCACACACACAGACCAACACACAGACAUGUAUAUGCUCAUUAUUGCUGUUCAAACUGAUGGUCAAAUUUCCAAGCAGCACCUGAACGCCUCAUCUGUUUUUAACCCAUCACUGGACCAACUGUCGUCAUUCCGCUGUGCUCUCUGCUGUGGAACUUGACUGACAACUGUGCUUUGCCUGGUAGGUGUGCACAUACUGUAAGAGAAGUAGACCAAAAUAAAAAAAUAAUCUGACUAAUAUAAGCUGUAAAGUGAUGGGUUCAAACUUUGUGCUAGACCUUUUAAACACAGUUUUAUAAUAAAUACACAUAAGUGCAGCUUAACAAUUGGGCUAAAAUAUUUUUUUCGUACAUUUUUGUAGUCACACUACAUGUGAUUAGUUAAUGAUUCACUCAAUCAUAUUUGUAUUUAAAUAUUAUUGCUGAAUUUAAUUAAAUAUUUAUUCUUUUAGAAAGUGCCCAAUUAUGCAACUUUUUGCACAUGGCAGCCGACAACCGUUACUGCUUCUAAACCCAAGGCAUUGAAAAUACUUUUUGAACCGUGAGGGUCUUAAGGACUGGUUCUACACAACAAUGUGUUCUUUAUGUUCCAGCUGUCAAAAUGUGGCCACAUACGCAAUUUCAAAGUUGGGUCUUUCCUCCUGUUCCUGACAGAUAAUACAAUCUAUAGGUUAGUUACAAGGUACUUGCUUCUUAUUUCCUGAAAAUGCAAGGUGAAUUCUAAUAUUUGGGGGGGGGGGGUGUAGCUGAAAAGUAACAGCUUCAGAUGUUAGGCACAAAACAUCUGCUAGAUACAGUUCAUGGUGACUCUUGAUGUCAUUAAUAUGAGCUGACAGUGCCUCUGUAAUAUGGUGAACAAUGAUGAAAGUUUUUAACCAGCUGACUGUUUGUCUUAUGAGUAGACACCCCUCUACACACUAAGCAUAUCGAGAUAACCGGCUUUUGUCUCGAGCACAUCACGCACUUUGAUGAGCGCGAGCAGAUUCCUUCUAGAACAUCAGACCGUUGGCUGUUAUUUGACACCUAAAUCGUAACUGCACAAGAUAGGUGAGUAUUAUUGGUUUAAACACACAGUUAAUCUCUUAAAUCAAAAUAUGUAGUCCCAAAUCAAUAACACAACUCCAUAAUUGAUGUUAUUGUAUAAAAAAACCCCAGCACGAACAAAUAAUAAGUACCUAAAACCUCCGGUUAUAAAACCCGAAAUCUCCCGUUAGCAGGCACUCCUUUAGCUACGCUGUCAGUUAAACAUUAGCAAAGGUGACAAAGAAAUCACCUUAAACAUUUUUUUAAUUUCUGUGAAAUAAACAAAUUUUACUGGUUUGUUAAAAGAUUAGCCAUUUUUUUCUUUUUCAUUUUUUCAGUUAUCGUGACAUAUGCAAAGACAAGAACAUAAAACAGUGAUGUAGACUACAGAAGGCUAUAUGGGUUUUUAACAGAUAUUCUCAGCAUAUAAAUAACACAAUGCGACAUAUUUCUUAGUUAUAAAGGCUCCGUGUAACUCUGCUUACGUUAACUAAGCCAUGAACACCUGUGCGACUUGAAUUUCAUAUGUUAGCAGCACGGUAGCAGGUACACUGACCGCUAGCCACACAGUUUAUACUCUUAAAUUCAUGUGCUCUUUGUACACUCUUGGCUAAUUAACUGUGGAGUUUACAUUGCAAGUUAUUAACACAGAGAGCAUUGAAAAACGCAUAAGUCUUACCUACAUGUUCGGGUUUAAAAUUUUCCCUCAGUUGCCUCGUGCCACGUUAUGAGCUCCCCCGUGACUCCGCGGGAGCCGAAACUGCAGCACUUACUCUGUUCCUGGCAUGCAUGAAUUCAGAGUUAAAAAUAUGUGGCGCCUCCUACUGCACGGAGUGUGUGAUAUCAAGAAAGACGUCUUAAGAGCUUAAAAGAAUGUGAUUGGACUUCUUUAACUUAUCAAAACCUCCCCUUUUUUCAAGUUUUUAACACUAACAUGCGUAAGAUGACCGAGGGCUUACACAAACAUCAAGAUUAUUUUUAAUUCACAGGCUCAAGGGAAAUAUAUGAAACAUCAAUAUAUAAAACAUCAAUAUAUAAAACACAAAAACACAUUUUUGUGUUUGUCAUAUUUGAUUAAAUGGACAUUAUGGUGUCUCAUAAAACUCUGUGUGUGUGUGUGUGUGUGUGUGUGUGUAAUUUCAGAAUGGCUUCAUCAAAGCAUCAUCGCAGUACCAGUGAGCCGUACACGAGGCUGCCACCCCUAACGGUCAAAGUGGUUUGUCUUAAAGAAACCCCUAAAGUCACUGGCUGGCAUUUCUCUGAUGGAAGUGCAAGGCCCAAAACUGUCCACAAUAAUACAACUGCGGCAGUAUGUGACGGGACAAAUGUGUUCAGAUUUGUGCUAUUCGAAAACUUGGCCUCCCAAAUUAAAGAGGGUAAAACCUAUACCAUUAGAAAUUUCAAAAUGGGCAAAUUUGGAAGCACGCGAUCAAUGCUUUCAAGUAAGGACACGGCAGUGUACGUCAGUGCACCCAUCCAAGUCAGUCAGCAGCUGGAGGACGAGGCAAGGCUGCUUCUGGGGCCACCCACCACCUUGACCCCACUGACCAACAUCAGCCAAUCACAGAUGAUGUACGUGACAGUGAAGGGAUGGGUCACAGCUAUGGAACCGUUGAAAAAAAAUUCAAAAGGGGCAGGAUCCAGCAAUCCCUUUGCAGAUCAUCAAUCUCAAAGAGGAUGAGUCAGAGGUGAAUGUGGCACUCUGGGGAGAGGCUGUGCUCACCCCAGUCUGUAUCGGAUCUCCGGUAGAGAUCAGUCACUUAAGAGGCAGCAACUCGCAGUCACAUGGCUUUGCUCUUCAUACAUCACCAUUUACUGUGGUUAAGCCUGGAAGUGGGAUCCAUGAGAUUAAGCCAAGAGGUUACAGAACCAUUGGCCAAGACCAAGAGGUCCUGGACUCCGAUGACAUUCCACACAUUGUGUCAUCUGAUGUGUGGCUAAAAGUGUUCCCAGACACCCCAGAAAUCCUCCCUUCAGUGAUCCUGCUGAAUUAUGAAAAGGGCACCGUAAUAGAUAUUCUGAUGCCAGAGGAGUAAUGCUCUUUAUUAUUUUCCCAGCAUUUUUAGUUAAUUAUCUAAUGUAUUUCUUUUUUUAAUCUGUUGUUUAUCUGUAAGUAAUUAGUUAAAGAUGAAAAUUAAAUAAGUUGAAAAAAAAAAUCAGUUAAUUAGUUCAUUGUUUUGUGGUGGUUUGUUAUUCCUGAAUGUUUUAAU